GUGAAUCAUCAAAUCUUUGAACGCAAAUUGCACUCUCUUCGGUGCGUACGCCUGUUUGAGGGUCAGCAUUAAUAAAAAUCGGUGUGUUGCCUCUUUGUUACGCCCCGGAGUUUGGGUCAUCUUAAUAAUCUAUAGGCUUUAAGAGGCAUAAAAUUGACUUUUUUUGCGAUUUUUAGCUGUACAUAAAUUCUUUUUUUUAUUCGUCUGUAUUA
rnacentral:misc_RNA from 1 species